rnacentral:rRNA from 1 species
GUCUAUGGCCAUACCACCCUAAAUGUGCCCCAUCUCGUCUAAUCUCAGAAGCUAAGCAGGGUCAGGCCUGGUUAAUACUCGGAUGGGAGACACAUAAUGCAUUCAUUUUGGGGAGUUGCUAUAGGUA